rnacentral:tRNA from 1 species
CCCGGCCGGCGGGGUGGCGCUCGGGCUCCGCGGCCGGCGGCGGGGGCGGGGCCGCCGCCGGGGCCGGCUCGGGUGCGGCGGCCGGGGCC